rnacentral:rRNA from 1 species
UGGGGAAUAUUGCACAAUGGGCGCAAGCCUGAUGCAGCCAUGCCGCGUGUAUGAAGAAGGUCUUCGGGUUGUAAAGUACUUUCAGUCGGGAGGAAGGGAGUAAAGUUAAUACCUCUGCUCAUCGACGUUACCCGCAGAAGAAGCACCGGCUAACUCCGUGCCAGCAGCCGCGGUAAUACGGAGGGUGGAAGCGUUAAUCGGAAUUACUGGGCGUAAAGCGCACGCAGGCGGUUUGUUAAGACAGAUGUGAAAUCCCCGGGCUCAACCUGGGAACUGAGUCUAAUACUGGCAAGCUUGAGUCGCGUAGAGGGGGGUAGAAUUCCAGGUGUAGCGGUGAAAUGCGUAGAGAUCUGGAGGAAUACCGGUGGCGAAGGCGGCCCCCUGGGCGAAGACUGACGCUCAGGUGCGAAAGCGUGGGGAGCAAACAGG